UCCGUGUUAACCACGGCAGUCUCCUUAGAGAGCCCAACUGAAUGCUGGCAACUAAGGACAAGGGUUGCGCUCGUUGCGGGACUUAACCCAACAUGUCACCACACGAGCUGACGACAGCCAUGCAGCACCUGUCUUGCUGUGGGGUUGCCCCCAAAACCGUAUCUCUACGGCUAUCAGCAGAUGUCAAACCCAGGUAAGGUUCUUCGCGUUGCUUCGAAUUAAACCACAUGAUCCACCGCUUGUGCGGGCCCCCGUCAAUUCCUUUGAGUUUUAGUCUUGCGACCGUACUUCCCAGGCGGGGUACUUAUUGCGUUAGCUCCGGCUCGGCGGGGGUCAAGACCCACCAAGCCUAGUACCCAUCGUUUACGGCGUGGACUAC
rnacentral:misc_RNA from 1 species